AAAGUGACGUCAACAAGGCAGCAAACGCAGAUUGGAUGUUGAUUGGUGAGAACCAAUCAACAUCCAAUUUGCGUUUGCUGCCUUGUUGACGUCACUUCU
rnacentral:pre_miRNA from 1 species